UUGGUGGCAGCAGUGGUGGCUUCGGGCAGCAGUUGGUGGCAGCAGUGGUGGCUUCGGAGGCAGCAGUGGAGUUGGUGGCAGCAGUGGCAGCACCUUCGGCAGUGGCAGCGGCCUGGGUGGUUCAGCAGGCGGAAGCAAAGGCGGGAGCGGCCACCUCAGCACCAGUUACGGCCUACCUAAUUAGUGCUUGAAACGGUGAACUGCCUGCACUGAGAAGGCUGUUGCUUCUCUGAGUAUGUCGAUGUACACUUUCGCAUGUGUACAUUUGUGAACAAGGCGUACAAUGGACCGCCAACAAUAAAUUGUUAAUACAUCAAUAA